CGGGACACGUGGUAUCCUGUCUGAAUAUGGGGGGACCAUCCUCCAAGGCUAAAUACUCCUGACUGACCGAUAGUGAACCAGUACCGUGAGGGAAAGGCGAAAAGAACCCCGGCGAGGGGAGUGAAAAAGAACCUGAAACCGUGUACGUACAAGCAGUGGGAGCACAGAGCAAUCUGUGUGACUGCGUACCUUUUGUAUAAUGGGUCAGCGACUUAUAUUCUGUAGCAAGGUUAACCGAAUAGGGGAGCCGAAGGGAAACCGAGUCUUAACUGGGCGUUAAGUUGCAGGGUAUAGACCCGAAACCCGGUGAUCUAGCCAUGGGCAGGUUGAAGGUUGGGUAACACUAACUGGAGGACCGAACCGACUAAUGUUGAAAAAUUAGCGGAUGACUUGUGGCUGGGGGUGAAAGGCCAAUCAAACCGGGAGAUAGCUGGUUCUCCCCGAAAGCUAUUUAGGUAGCGCCUCGUGAAUUCAUCUCCGGGGGUAGAGCACUGUUUCGGCAAGGGGGUCAUCCCGACUUACCAACCCGAUGCAAACUGCGAAUACCGGAGAAUGUUAUCACGGGAGACACACGGCGGGUGCUAACGUCCGUCGUGAAGAGGGAAACAACCCAGACCGCCAGCUAAGGUCCCAAAGUCAUGGUUAAGUGGGAAACGAUGUGGGAAGGCCCAGACAGCCAGGAUGUUGGCUUAGAAGCAGCCAUCAUUUAAAGAAAGCGUAAUAGCUCACUGGUCGAGUCGGCCUGCGCGGAAGAUGUAACGGGGCUAAACCAUGCACCGAAGCUGCGGCAGCGACACUGUGUGUUGUUGGGUAGGGGAGCGUUCUGUAAGCCUGUGAAGGUGUGCUGUGAGGCAUGCUGGAGGUAUCAGAAGUGCGAAUGCUGACAUAAGUAACGAUAAAGCGGGUGAAAAGCCCGCUCGCCGGAAGACCAAGGGUUCCUGUCCAACGUUAAUCGGGGCAGGGUGAGUCGACCCCUAAGGCGAGGCCGAAAGGCGUAGUCGAUGGGAAACAGGUUAAUAUUCCUGUACUUGGUGUUACUGCGAAGGGGGGACGGAGAAGGCUAUGUUGGCCGGGCGACGGUUGUCCCGGUUUAAGCGUGUAGGCUGGUUUUCCAGGCAAAUCCGGAAAAUCAAGGCUGAGGCGUGAUGACGAGGCACUACGGUGCUGAAGCAACAAAUGCCCUGCUUCCAGGAAAAGCCUCUAAGCAUCAGGUAACAUCAAAUCGUACCCCAAACCGACACAGGUGGUCAGGUAGAGAAUACCAAGGCGCUUGAGAGAACUCGGGUGAAGGAACUAGGCAAAAUGGUGCCGUAACUUCGGGAGAAGGCACGCUGAUAUGUAGGUGAAGUCCCUCGCGGAUGGAGCUGAAAUCAGUCGAAGAUACCAGCUGGCUGCAACUGUUUAUUAAAAACACAGCACUGUGCAAACACGAAAGUGGACGUAUACGGUGUGACGCCUGCCCGGUGCCGGAAGGUUAAUUGAUGGGGUCAGCGCAAGCGAAGCUCUUGAUCGAAGCCCCGGUAAACGGCGGCCGUAACUAUAACGGUCCUAAGGUAGCGAAAUUCCUUGUCGGGUAAGUUCCGACCUGCACGAAUGGCGUAAUGAUGGCCAGGCUGUCUCCACCCGAGACUCAGUGAAAUUGAACUCGCUGUGAAGAUGCAGUGUACCCGCGGCAAGACGGAAAGACCCCGUGAACCUUUACUAUAGCUUGACACUGAACAUUGAGCCUUGAUGUGUAGGAUAGGUGGGAGGCUUUGAAGUGUGGACGCCAGUCUGCAUGGAGCCGACCUUGAAAUACCACCCUUUAAUGUUUGAUGUUCUAACGUGGACCCGUGAUCCGGGUUGCGGACAGUGUCUGGUGGGUAGUUUGACUGGGGCGGUCUCCUCCUAAAGAGUAACGGAGGAGCACGAAGGUUGGCUAAUCCUGGUCGGACAUCAGGAGGUUAGUGCAAUGGCAUAAGCCAGCUUGACUGCGAGCGUGACGGCGCGAGCAGGUGCGAAAGCAGGUCAUAGUGAUCCGGUGGUUCUGAAUGGAAGGGCCAUCGCUCAACGGAUAAAAGGUACUCCGGGGAUAACAGGCUGAUACCGCCCAAGAGUUCAUAUCGACGGCGGUGUUUGGCACCUCGAUGUCGGCUCAUCACAUCCUGGGGCUGAAGUAGGUCCCAAGGGUAUGGCUGUUCGCCAUUUAAAGUGGUACGCGAGCUGGGUUUAGAACGUCGUGAGACAGUUCGGUCCCUAUCUGCCGUGGGCGCUGGAGAACUGAGGGGGGCUGCUCCUAGUACGAGAGGACCGGAGUGGACGCAUCACU
rnacentral:rRNA from 1 species